rnacentral:rRNA from 1 species
AUUGAACGCUGGCGGCAGGCUUAACACAUGCAAGUCGAGCGGAGCGAGGGUGCUUGCACCUUAGCUUAGCGGCGGACGGGUGAGUAAUGCUUAGGAAUCCGCCUAUUAGUGGGGGACAACAUUCCGAAAGGGAUGCUAAUACCGCAUACGCCCUACGGGGGAAAGCAGGGGAUCUUCGGACCUUGCGCUAAUAGAUGAGCCUCAGUCGGAUUAGCUAGUUGGUGGGGUAAAGGCCUACCAAGGCGACGAUCUGUAGCGGGUCUGAGAGGAUGAUCCGCCACACUGGGACUGAGACACGGCCCAGACUCCUACGGGAGGCAGCAGUGGGGAAUAUUGGACAAUGGGCGGAAGCCUGAUCCAGCCAUGCCGCGUGUGUGAAGAAGGCCUUUUGGUUGUAAAGCACUUUAAGCGAGGAGGAGGCUACUAGUAUUAAUACUACUGGAUAGUGGACGUUACUCGCAGAAUAAGCACCGGCUAACUCUGUGCCAGCCGCCGCUGUAA